ensembl:snRNA U6 U6 spliceosomal RNA
GUGCUGACUUCAGCAGCACAUAUAAUAAAAUUGGAACCAUGCAGAGAAGAUUAACCUGGCCCCUGCCCAAGGAUGACACACAAAUUCAUGAAGCCUUCCAUAUUUUU